rnacentral:tRNA from 1 species
GCAGGCAUAGUUCAAACAGAAUAUUAGAUUGUGAUUCUAAAGAUAGGGGUUAAAAACCCCUUGCCUACC